ACCGCGAGAGAGGAGCCGGCCGAGCCUCCGCCGAGAAGCCGCCCCUGAGCAGCUGCACACACCGCGACCCCGGUGCCGUCCGCCCCGUCCGCCGUCCGCUCCGGCCGCUCGCUGGCUGCGUGCGCGCGUGUGGAGUCGUGGCACUUUCUGCCUCGGAGCUGGCGAACGGCCCCCUCCGCCGGGAUCGCCGCCUCCUGCCUUCCCCACCCGGACCAGCCAUUCAUCGAGCUGCCUCUUCCCAUUGGUCCACUAGCCGCCACUCUACUGGCAACUGUCCAAUCAGAUCGCGGACUGCCGCUCCGCGGCGGCGGCCAUUGGGUAAAAAGGAGGGUCUACGUCUCAGCCAAUGGGAGAGGGGAGGAGCUGCGGGGAGCCGCGGGGGGCGGGGUCGAAGAGGGGCGGAGCCGCGCAGCGCAGCUCUCAGCUCUGCGCGGGGGGCGGGUCUCUAACGCCCCGCCCAUCUAGGGAGGUCGUCUGCCGGCCCCGCCCACUCAGGGCCGCGGCUCUCCACGCCACCGCUUUUUCCGAGUCGGCUCCGCCUAGGCAGAUGGAUUGUGGUUCGAAUCCCCAUGGCCGCGGGCUGCUCUUCCCGACACUGCCGGGCUUGGGUGGCGAUGGGUGUAACCCCGAGGAUUGCAUAACCCGUGAAUAACAGGGGAAAUGCUUUAUUUAAACCCAAGUAACUUGACACAAAGCACCAGCCCCUGGAUCUAAAGACAAGUUCUCCAAGGGUGAGAGCAGGAAGAAUAGGGCUUCUUUAUCUGCAAACAUUUUUUCUAGAUGGGAUUUUCUUGAAUAAAUGAAAGAACUGAGGUGGAAGAUCCAGAAAGAACAAAGGAAAUUGAGGUGGACUGCGUAUCAUUUCGUUAGGGAAGAUCUUGUACAAAUCACACAGCAAGAGUUACAGCAGGACAGCCGGCAGUGGCGGGAGGUGGCACGCCUUUAAGCCCAGUACUCCGGAGGCAGAGCCAGCACCGACACUCACUUGAAAUGAAAUUCAAGGAUUCCAGUUUCUGGCCAGCAGUUGCUACCAACUAGUCUGGCUGGACGAUGAGCAAGGCAUUUACCUCUCUGAGUAUAAAUGGACUUUAAGACGGUCACUCUCUCUUCUGGGGCUCCAGACCAUUCUUUGGAUACUAAUGAGGAGGAGGUUCAUCCUUCCAGACUUAAAACCUGCAGCUCCUCAGCCCCUCUUCCCCACUUCAUCACUGCGUGGCUCUCCUCAAACUCUGCUAAUCAGCUUUUUCCGUCCUUAUUUUGUUUUUUUAAUCAUCAGUGAGAGUUUUGAAGACGAUCCUUAUGCCAGAAGCAAGGGGGCGGGGGAAGUAAAAUAAAUUCUAAAAGGGCCCAGCAGGGUAACAGAGCUCCAUCUGAGUGUCAGGCUGACAGGCCCUACCACCAGCUGAUACAACAGCCCCAUCCCAGCUCAGCACAACCCUUCCCACAACCUAUUUCAAUUGCAACUGGGGAAGUCGGAUUGGGAAGCAAGGGAGCUUAGCCUGCAUCGC